AUGAACGCUGGCGGCGUGCCUAAUACAUGCAAGUCGAGCGAACGGACGAGAAGCUUGCUUCUCUGAUGUUAGCGGCGGACGGGUGAGUAACACGUGGAUAACCUACCUAUAAGACUGGGAUAACUUCGGGAAACCGGAUCUAAUACCGGAUAAUAUUUUGAACCGCAUGGUUCAAAAGUGAAAGACGGUCUUGCUGUCACUUAUAGAUGGAUCCGCGCUGCAUUAGCUAGUUGGUAAGGUAACGGCUUACCAAGGCAACGAUGCAUAGCCGACCUGAGAGGGUGAUCGGCCACACUGGAACUGAGACACGGUCCAGACUCCUACGGGAGGCAGCAGUAGGGAAUCUUCCGCAAUGGGCGAAAGCCUGACGGAGCAACGCCGCGUGAGUGAUGAAGGUCUUCGGAUCGUAAAACUCUGUUAUUAGGGAAGAACAUAUGUGUAAGUAACUGUGCACAUCUUGACGGUACCUAAUCAGAAAGCCACGGCUAACUACGUG
rnacentral:rRNA from 1 species